UACGUAGGGGGCUAGCGUUGUCCGGAAUCAUUGGGCGUAAAGAGCGCGCAGGCGGUCGUUCAAGUCGCGUGUGAAAGCCCCCGGCUCAACUGGGGAGGGUCACGCGAUACUGAUCGACUCGAAGGCAGGAGAGGGAAGUGGAAUUCCCGGUGUAGUGGUGAAAUGCGUAGAUAUCGGGAGGAACACCAGUGGCGAAGGCGACUUCCUGGCCUGUUCUUGACGCUGAGGCGCGAAAGCUAGGGGAGCAAACGGG
rnacentral:rRNA from 1 species